GUUAGGUGGACGAACACGCCACGGUAGAGUAACAUACUCUAUGGCGACACUUUCAUUUUCUCGCUCGUCUGAAAAGUUUUGUUCGCCGUCUUUGAAGCGCCAGUGUGAUUUUGAGGCUGCGGAGGUACGUUCACUUUUCUGAGCAUACCCGCGAAGGUGUAAUCUGAGGCGUCUGACGAGUGGAGUCGCGGUAUCAAAAGUACCUACGUGGAACGUCGAAGGCACACAAUCGACAGCACACGCACGACGAAAUGUGUGUAUGUCGUCAAGCAGCCAACAUUCGCAGAUGUGUCCAUCUCUUUACGGAGAAACGAAGAAGUCUCAUGCUUUGGAUAUUGCCAGGAAAGCGUUGCACCAGUGUCCACCCAGAAACCAUUCAUUUAAGGAUUAUGUCACAGCUUUAUAUUCGGUGAACGUGCGAUUGUGAUGGCGAUGUGACUGCUGACUGCAGCUUGGGCUUGGUUGUAUCGAAAUGAGUGAAAUUGGCAAUUCACUUUUCUGCACUCUUGUUCAAUUGAAAUUGGCAUGAAUGCAAUUGCGAACCUACGCAAACCUUCGGCGAAGUGGGGGGGGCCCGUGAACCAUCGGAGCUACGGGCGACGCCUUCUCGAAGCAUGGCUUCGAACUCUGCCUUGGCUAUGCGCGCGCGGUCUGGGGCAAGGCAUUGGGUGCGGCAGAAAACCGGGAGCCUUGGAGUGAUCCAGAUGUAGUGCACGGUGGCGGGCUGCACUUUGCGUUACAGUCAGCUGGGCCGCAGGUCUCCAGCUUGUAGCACUUUUCUAAAGAAUUCCAGCGGUACAAAAAUGAGAGUUAUGAAACAGAAACUAGAACGGAAAUGUACAAAAUACGAGGUGUACAACCAACCUUUCAGCGUGGCUGAGCUACUAACAUCGCUAAAUAGCUGCAGUAAUUCCGCACCAGGUUCUGACCAUGUUGUGUAUAAAAUAUUAAAAAAACUGACCUCCCAAAA
rnacentral:misc_RNA from 1 species